rnacentral:rRNA from 1 species
AACGAACGCUGGCGGCGUGCCUAACACAUGCAAGUCGAACGGAGGUACUCAGCAAUGGGUAUCUUAGUGGCGAACGGGUGAGUAACGCGUAGACAACCUACCUUCUAGAUGGGGACAACACCGCGAAAGUGGUGCUAAUACCGAGUGUGGUGCAUGGGUUGCAUGACUAGUGCAAAAAAGGUGGCCUCUAUUUAUAAGCUACCGCUAGAAGAUGGAUCUGCGUCUGAUUAGCUAGUUGGCGGGGUAAAAGCCCACCAAGGCGACGAUCAGUAGCCGGUCUGAGAGGAUGAACGGCCACACUGGGACUGAGACACGGCCCAGACUCCUACGGGAGGCAGCAGUGGGGAAUCUUCCGCAAUGGACGAAAGUCUGACGGAGCAACGCCGCGUGAGUGAAGAAGGCCUUCGGGUUGUAAAGCUCUGUUAUUAGGGACGAACGUAUGAAGUGUGAAUAAUGCUUUAUAGUGACGGUACCUAAGGAGGAAGCCACGGCUAACUACGUGCCAGCCGCCGCGGUAAUAC